rnacentral:rRNA from 1 species
GACGAACGUUGGCGGCGUGCUUAAUACAUGCAAGUCAACUGAAGCAGUGGUAGCAAUAUCGCUGUGGAGGUGGCGCACGGGUGAGUAACACGUAGGUAAUCUGCCUUCAGGUCUGGCAUAACUCCGGGAAACCGGGGCUAAUAGCAGAUGAUGCAGCGGCUCGACAUCGAGACAGUUGUUAAAGCUAUGGCGCCUGAAGAUGAGCCUGCGUCUGAUUAGCUAGUUGGCGGGGUAACGGCCCACCAAGGCAACGAUCAGUAGCUGGUCUGAGAGGAUGAUCAGCCACACUGGAACUGAGACACGGUCCAGACUCCUACGGGAGGCAGCAGUAAGGAGUAUUGCUCAAUGGGAGAAAUCCUGAAGCAGCAACGCCGCGUGAGGGACGAAGGGCUUUUGCUUGUAAACCUCUGUAGUGAGAGAAAAAAAUCCCAAUCUUUGGGACAUGAUGGUAUCUCAAAAGUAAGCCCCGGCUAACUACGUG